rnacentral:lncRNA from 1 species
GCAGGACUCGUGGUGGCCAAUGGACUUGCAAAUUUCCUCAACCUCUAUAAUACUGUGUUGAUUGUUCGGCUUGUUCUUACAUGGUUCCCCGGUGCUCCUGCGGCAAUUGUUAACCCUCUCAGGUGCGUUGAUCUAAAGAGUUAUUUCUUUAUGUGUAUGUAUUUAUGUUUCAUGGUUUCACAGCACAAUAUGCGAUCCAUACCUGAAUAUUUUCCGGGGAGUAAUCCCACCUCUUGGAGGAACCUUGGAUCUCUCCCCGAUUCUGGCAUUUUUGGUUUUAAACGCCUUCACAAGUACUGCCGCCGCACUUCCAGCAGAACUACCAGCUGCUUCGGGAACAUCUCGACAUCAAGAGUUUCCUUUUAAUCUUACUAGCUUUCAACAGAAAUGGAUGCGAAGGGUAUCCGGCCGGCAACAACAAGUGUUGAAAUAAAAUUGGUUUUUUUAUAAUUUUUUUUUGAAUCGGAGAGUAAAUUCAGAAACAAAGAAAGAGAUGCAAUUAUGCAAUUAUCAAAUUCAAAAGCUAAUAAAAAUUCUGAUACCAUUUGUUCACCUCUCCAGUCUGGAUACCAUCUUUUUAUUCCACCGCGUCUGAUUUUUUUUAAAU